rnacentral:rRNA from 1 species
CACGGGGGGAGCAAGCGUUGUUCGGAAUUACUGGGCGUAAAGGGCGUGUAGGCGGUCAAGUAAGUGGAAUGUGAAACGCCUCGGCUUACCCGAGGACCUGCAUCCCAAACUGCUUGGCUUGAGUAUGGGAGAGGAUGAGGGAAUUCCUGGUGUAGCGGUGAAAUGCGUAGAUAUCAAGAGGAACACCUGAGGUGAAGACGGGUUGCUGGGCUGACACUGACGCUGAGGCGCGAAAGCCAGGGGAGCAAACGGG